AUUAUAAUAGUUUAAAUUUUGUAGAAUUUCGUUUUGAUUGGGCGAGGGUGUUUAUAAUU
rnacentral:tRNA from 1 species